rnacentral:lncRNA from 1 species
GCCCUGGUCUGAUGGAUGCUGUCCCUACAGGAAGAGAGAGACCCCUGUGCUCUCGGCUCCCACAGAUAAGAGGCCGUGUGGGGACGGGGACAGAAGGUGACCACCUCCAAGCCACGAGGAGCUCUCUCACCAGAACCCACCCCCAAUGGACGGCACCUUGAUCUUGGAGCUCUGGCCUCCAAAACUGAGAAAAUACAUUUCUAUUAUUUAAGCCACCCAGGGCACUGUGGUUUGCUAUGGACACCCAAGCCGCCUGAGACACCACCACUCAGGGCUUCCCCUGCCCCGCAGGGCUGGGUGGAUGCCCUCUGCUCCCUCUGUGGCCUGGGGCAAGCAGCCCCCGCCCCUCAAGGGUGGAGGGCAGCGGGUACCAGGUGAGACCGAAGGUGCUGGGCUCGAGGCCUGGCUCCCCAACUUGCUGGCCUUGCUACACAGCCUCCUGAAGCCUCAGUCUUCCCUUCUGCCAAGGGAUGGAGGUGAGGAUCCGCUCCCGGAGAGCGCCAAGGACGUGGGAAAGCCUCAGCAAGGGCACACAGCAGUCCGAGCCCUCCGCAGAGGCCCCGAGGAGGGGCGGGCGUCAGUCUGCGGGACCUCAUCACAAGAUCUGAGCGGUGGUCAGCUUCUGCAGCAGAGAGGGCAGUCAGGAAAUCUGCCUGCUUGGGGUUGCUGGGAAGCGUCUGGAUUUUUAGGCUUGGUGACCACAAAUCUGGGUUCGGGGGAGUGGCUGCACAGACCCCGUUCUGGACCUUUUCUGCCUCUGUAUUUGAAGCCCAGACCACGACGGGCUACCGGCUCUGUAUCUUCCAACAGCAAAUAAAUACGUUGAUUAGAGUCACAACUCUCGGGGAGGUUGACACAGACUAUAUUUGUG